rnacentral:rRNA from 1 species
UACGUAGGGGGCAAGCGUUGUCCGGAUUUACUGGGCGUAAAGAGCGUGUAGGCGGCUUUGCAAGUCCGUUGUGAAAACUCGAGGCUCAACCUCGAGACGCCGGUGGAAACUGCAAAGCUAGAGUCCGGAAGAGGAGAGUGGAAUUCCUGGUGUAGCGGUGAAAUGCGCAGAUAUCAGGAGGAACACCGGUGGCGAAGGCGGUUCUCUGGGCCUGUACUGACGCUGGAGGAGCGAAAGCCGUGGGGAGCGAACAGG